rnacentral:rRNA from 1 species
AUUGAACGCUGGCGGCAUGCCUUACACAUGCAAGUCGAACGGCAGCACGGGUGCUUGCACCUGGUGGCGAGUGGCGAACGGGUGAGUAAUACAUCGGCACAUGUCCUGUAGUGGGGGAUAGCCCGGCGAAAGCCGGAUUAAUACCGCAUACGAACUACGGAUGAAAGCGGGGGACCUUCGGGCCUCGCGCUAUAGGGUUGGCCGAUGGCUGAUUAGCUAGUUGGUGGGGUAAAGGCCUACCAAGGCGACGAUCAGUAGCUGGUCUGAGAGGACGACCAGCCACACUGGGACUGAGACACGGCCCAGACUCCUACGGGAGGCAGCAGUGGGGAAUUUUGGACAAUGGGCGAAAGCCUGAUCCAGCAAUGCCGCGUGUGUGAAGAAGGCCUUCGGGUUGUAAAGCACUUUUGUCCGGAAAGAAAACCUUGGCCCUAAUACGGUCGGGGGAUGACGGUACCGGAAGAAUAAGCACCGGCUAACUACGUG